rnacentral:rRNA from 1 species
GAUGAACGCUGGCGGCGUGCCUAAUACAUGCAAGUCGAGCGAACAGACGAGGAGCUUGCUCCUCUGACGUUAGCGGCGGACGGGUGAGUAACACGUGGAUAACCUACCUAUAAGACUGGGAUAACUUCGGGAAACCGGAGCUAAUACCGGAUAAUAUAUUGAACCGCAUGGUUCAAUAGUGAAAGACGGUUUUGCUGUCACUUAUAGAUGGAUCCGCGCCGCAUUAGCUAGUUGGUAAGGUAACGGCUUACCAAGGCAACGAUGCGUAGCCGACCUGAGAGGGUGAUCGGCCACACUGGAACUGAGACACGGUCCAGACUCCUACGGGAGGCAGUAGUAGGGAAUCUUCCGCAAUGGGCGAAAGCCUGACGGAGCAACGCCGCGUGAGUGAUGAAGGUCUUCGGAGCGUAAAACUCUGUUAUUAGGGAAGAACAAAUGUGUAAGUAACUAUGCACGUCUUGACGGUACCUAAUCAGAAAGCCACGGCUAACUACGUG